CCACACUACUCCUUUUCCCCCACCACUACAAUCUUUCUCCCACUCUCACAACUUUUCUCCCACCAUUAUCACACUCCAUAGAAGCCUUUGAAGCCCCAAGAGAAGUAGCAAAGCAAGGGAGAGUGUGGGAAAACUAUAGAGUGAAGGUUGUGCUUCGAGGGUCCGGGCGACAGAAAGUGAAGCCGAAGAAGAAACGACUCCACGCCAGCUUUAAGAACAAUUGAGGUUGAGCAGGCGAUGGAAUGGAUCGGUGUUGAGCGGAUUUCCCUUUUGAUGUUUAUGUAAUGAAACCUUGAGUAUGCAUCUCCAUAUGCAUAACUCACACGUUUUUCCGCUGCAAACACUCUGACUUAUUUAUCAUUUCUACUUGAACUUAUUACUACUUCAUUUUAAUUAACUUUCAGUUGGGGUCUAGUCGUUAUGGCAGACUCGUUUGUGAAUUACCCAAGUGGUUAUAUAUAUAUAUACCACUAGUUUGUUAUUAAUGUUGGUUACUUAGUAAAUCCCCUUUAAUUUC